UACGUAGGGUGCAAGCGUUGUCCGGAAUUAUUGGGCGUAAAGAGCUCGUAGGCGGUUUGUCGCGUCUGCUGUGAAAACGCGAGGCUCAACCUCGCGUCUGCAGUGGGUACGGGCAAACUAGAGUGCGGUAGGGGAGAUUGGAAUUCCUGGUGUAGCGGUGGAAUGCGCAGAUAUCAGGAGGAACACCGAUGGCGAAGGCAGAUCUCUGGGCCGUAACUGACGCUGAGGAGCGAAAGCGUGGGGAGCGAACAGG
rnacentral:rRNA from 1 species